rnacentral:tRNA from 1 species
CGCGACCCCCACCUUGGCAAGGUGGUGUUCUACCACUGAACUACGUUCGCACUGUUUUCUUCUAUCUAAAAAUGCCGGCUACAUGACUUGAACACGCGACCCUCUGAUUACAAAUCAGAUGCUCUACCAACUGAGCUAAGCCGGCUCAUUUGUUAUAUCUUAAUGCGGGUUAAGGGACUUGAACCCCCAGCCGUUAAGCGCCAGAUCCUAAAUCUGGUG